CAACUACUCCCUUUGUACGAAAAAACUUGUCCCAAGCUUGUCUUUCAAAUGGAUGUAUCUAGCACUAACUUGGUGCUAGAUACAUUCAUUUGAGGAACAUGCCUUUUCGGACUGAGGGAGUACAAG
rfam:Triticum aestivum genome assembly, contig: Triticum_aestivum_CS42_TGACv1_scaffold_129536_2BL